rnacentral:rRNA from 1 species
UACGUAGGGGGCAAGCGUUGUUCGGAAUUACUGGGCGUAAAGCGCGCGUAGGCGGUCUGACAAGUCAGAUGUGAAAGCCCCGGGCUCAACUUGGGAACUGCAUUUGAUACUGUCAGACUAGAGUACAGAAGAGGUGACUGGAAUUCCCAGUGUAGCGGUGAAAUGCGUAGAUAUCAUUUGGAACGCCAAAGGUGAAAACAGACAGCUGGGGAUGUGCUGACGCUGAGACACGAAAGCCAGGGGAGCGAACGGG